GAAGAGAGCCAAACAGAACACAGUGGCCACUGUAGCAAAUGUACCUGAGCUUCUCCCCGCCCCCAGUGAGGAAAGGAAUGAUACAAAAUAUUAUCUCCUUGAGGUCAUGAUCAUGCCACACAUGCAGGGACACAAAGUCAGAGGUCUCCUUGGUGGGAAUUAAGGUAAACCUUGGUGAGAGCCGUGGAAAACCUGGAAAGUAUUGUCUGGAGACACAUAAGCCUUGUAGCCAGCAUGGUGGUGCUUACCAAGAAGAUCCGAAACGCUGGCUGUUGUCAUCUCUACCACAGUUUUCCCCUAUGAAGCCACAAAGAAAUGGCCUCCUGAAUAUUGUGUUUCUUACCAGAUAACACAACAAUAGGCGUGGUAGAAGGCAUGAGAGCGGACAUACCACAUACAUCAAGCAAAAUGCAGUAUGCCUACUGAAGGGAUUCACAUAUGCAACACAACUCUUCAGCCAAGAAGACCAAAUACGUAGAGUAUUCCUGUAUACAUGCCCAGAAGCAAGAGAUGUUGAGUGUCCUGUACAAUUAUGUUCUCACUAUUCUCUUUGAAACAAUGAUCCUGGAGCUUGGCUGGUGGGCUGCAAGGCCACAGCUUCACAGUGCUGGGAUUUUAGGCACAUGUGGCCAUGCCUUGCAUUUUACCCAGUGUUGAGAAUUUGAACUCAAUUCUCCUGCUUCUUGUCACAAGGUGACCCAUCUCCCAGCCCCAGGGACAGAGCUCUAAAAUGACUGCUUUCUUUACAAUGUAGGGCUCACAUGUUUUAAGAACAUGAGCCUUUUCUCUUGAUAUGAAGGCAGUGUCCUGGAGCCCACCAUGAGCUGAAUAAAACACCUGAGGAAUUCAUGGAUGCUAAAAACCAAGGACCAUCUUCAUCAGAGGCAAAGAUCAUCUUUUGAAGGUUGAAAUCUGUAAUCCACCUUCUAUGGGAUCAUUCACCUCUCCAAUUACAGCUGUAGAGAAAAUAUCUGAAGAUUCAGUUCUACUCUCACUCUUUGAGGUCUCCAAACCCGUGGCCUUUCCUGGUUUUAUUUAAGCCUUCUAUUAGUUUAUUAGUUUGACAGGGGACCCGGUAAUUGCACCAGCUUCUAAGUCCUACUGAAAUUUUGGUCUGCAUCUCCCUGAACACACACAAAAUUUAGUACCACUGCAGUACUUCUAAAAACAAAUAAAAGCUUUGCAAACUAGUCACCAAGCAUCCGACGCAAUUAAACUGCAUUUGUUUCUUUUCUGGCCUUCUCACACAAUCGGGGCCUUGUGAGAGGCAGGCACUCCUCGAAGCCUGCCGUGUUUUCUUUAGAGGAAAGUCUGCCAAAAUCCGCCUACCCUGAAUCCACCCUACAUAAGUGAAGUCUCAACUGGUGGGAAAUAGACAGUUGUCACCCCCCCCACACACACACACACACAUACACUUCUUCCUACGCUACUAAAACCAUGAUAUCCCCUUAGUGACACAAACCAAUCAACUACAAACUUAAUGAGAAAGAAGAGGAACUGAAUGUCUUUGAAAUGAAUUGCUGCACACCGACUCAAGGAAUCAUGUCAUGUAACUUAAGAGGAACACAACAACAACAGACUAUGUAUCUGGUUAGUAAACAGUAACACAGGAAAAAAAAUAAAAUCAUUUCAGAAA